GCCUACGGCCAUACCACCCUUAUAGCGCCCGAUCUCGUCUCAUCUCGGAAACUAAGCAGGGACGGGCCUGGUUAGUACCUGGAUGGGAGACCGCCUGGGAAUACCAGGUGUUGUAGGCU
rnacentral:rRNA from 1 species